rnacentral:lncRNA from 10 species
UAGAGAAGGAAGAUUUUAUUCAAAAGGACUAUUGCAAUAGAGAGAAUGUUCCAAUCACAAGAUCUGAAAAUGUCCAAGAGACACAAACUAAAAAGCUUUUUUUUCUUUUUUUCAUAUAUGGAGGAGUAAACAAGGCUAGAAAGCACAAGCACAAGUUAUGAGGCUGUGGAUGAGCACUUGGCAUGACUACAGUUAUUCAGGGAAAGUUUGUUAUGUUAUGUUAUGUUAUGUUAAAAAUGUUACAUAUUUCUUGGAGAGAGUCUUGCUCUGUCACCCAGGCUGGAGUGCAGUGGCGUCAUCUCUGCUCACUGCAACUUUUCAUCUACCAGGCUCAGGCAAUCCUCCCACCUCAAUCUCCCCAGUAGCUGGGACUACAAGCACACGUCACCAUGCCUAGUUAAUUUUUGUACUUUUUGUAGAGACGGGGUUUCGCCAUGUUGCUCAGGCUAGACUCGAACUCCUGAGCUCGAGGGAUCCCCCACACCUUGGCCUCCCAAAGUGCUGGGAUCACAGGCGUGAGCCACCGUGCCCGGUCUAUUUAUUUUUUGAGAGAGCAUCUUGCUCUGUUGCCCAGGCUAGAGUGCAGUGUCAAGACCAUAGCUCACUGCAGCCUUCAACUCUGGAAUCAAGUGAUCCUCCUACCUCAGUCUCCCAAGUGGCUGGGACUACGGGUUUGCACCGCCACACUCCACUAAUUUUUUUACUUUUUGCAAAGGCGGAUUCUCACUAUGUUGCCCAGGCAAGUCUUGAACUUCUAGCCUCAACUGAUCCUCCCGCCCUGAUCUCCCAAAGUGUUGGGAUUACAAAUGUGAGCCUGGCUCAUCAUGGAAUUCAAGACCAGUUUGGGCAACAUAGCAAGACUCCCAUCUCUACAGAAAAUUUUUAAAAAUUAGCUGGGCAUGGUGGCACACACCUGUAGUCCCAGCUACUCAGGAAGAUUGCUUGAGCCCAGGAGUUCGAGGCAGCAGUUAGCUAUGAUCCUGACACUGCACUCCAGUCUGGGCAACAGAGUGAGAACCUGUCUUUCAAAAAAAAAAAAAAAAGCCUACUCUUGGGAGGGGCUGUUGGCUGUUGUUAAGGAAAAGUUGUUCCAAAUUACACUGACAAAGAAUGGUUCAGAGGGUUGGGCAUGGUGGCUCACGCCUGCAAUCCUUGCACUUUGGGAAGCUGAGGCGAGUGGAUCACAUGAGGUCAGGAGUUCGAGACCAGCCUGGUCAACAUGGCGAAAACCCAUCUCUACUAAAAACAAAAAUUAGCCAG